UACGAAGGGGGCUAGCGUUGCUCGGAAUGACUGGGCGUAAAGGGCGCGUAGGCGGUUCAUACAGUCAGAUGUGAAAUUCCCGGGCUUAACCUGGGGGCUGCAUUUGAUACGUGUGGGCUUGAGUGAGGAAGAGGGUUGUGGAAUUCCCAGUGUAGAGGUGAAAUUCGUAGAUAUUGGGAAGAACACCGGUGGCGAAGGCGGCAACCUGGUCCUUUACUGACGCUGAGGCGCGAAAGCCAGGGGAGCAAACGGG
rnacentral:rRNA from 1 species